rnacentral:misc_RNA from 1 species
GAUGAAGAACGUAGCGAAUUGUGAUAAGUAAUGUGAAUUGCAGAAUUCAGUGAAUCAUCGAAUCUUUGAACGCAGCUUGCGCUCUCUGGUAUUCCUGAGAGCAUGCCUGUUUCAGUGUCAUGAAAUCUCAACCACUAGGGUUUCCUAAUGGAUUGGAUUUGGGCGUCUGCGAUUUCUGAUCGCUCGCCUUAAAAGAGUUAGCAAGUUUGACAUUAAUGUCUGGUGUAAUAAGUUUCACUGGGUCCAUUGUGUUGAAGCGUGCUUCUAAUCGUCCGCAAGGACAAUUACUUUGACUCUGGCCUGAAAUCAGGCAGGACUACCCGCUGAACUUAAGCAUAUCAAUAAGCGGAGGA